rnacentral:rRNA from 1 species
GGUGCAAGCGUUAUCCGGAAUCAUUGGGCGUAAAGCGCCUGUAGGUUGUUUAAUAAGUCUGUUGUUAAAGACCAGGGCUCAACCCUAGAAAAGCAAUGGAAACUACUAGACUAGAGUAUGGCAGGGGUAGAGGGAAUUUCUAGUGUAGCGGUGAAAUGCGUAGAUAUUAGAAAGAACACCGGUGGCGAAAGCGCUCUACUGGACCAUUACUGACACUCAGAGGCGAAAGCUAGGGUAGCAAAAGGGAUUAGAUACCCCUGUAGUCCUAGCCGUAAACGAUGGAUACUACAUGUUGUGCUUAUUUGUACAGUAUGGUAGCUAACGCGUUAAGUAUCCCGCCUGGGGAGUACGCUCGCAAGGGUGAAACUCAAAGGAAUUGACGGGGGCCCGCACAAGCGGUGGAGCAUGUGGUUUAAUUCGAUGCAACGCGAAGAACCUUACCAGGGCUUGACAUACUACAAAUUCUUUAGAGAUGAAGAAGUGCCUUCGGGAAUGUAGAUACAGGUGGUGCAUGGCUGUCGUCAGCUCGUGUCGUGAGAUGUUGGGUUAAGUCCCGCAACGAGCGCAACCCUUAUUUUUAGUUACUAAUUCGUUAGGUUCUCUAGAAAGACUGCCGGUGACAAACCGGAGGAAGGUGAGGAUGACGUCAAGUCAGCAUGCCCCUUAUGUCCUGGGCUACACACGUGCUACAAUGGUUAAGACAAAGAGUCGCGAGCUCGCGAGAGUCAGCUAAUCUCAUAAACUUAGCCU